AUGGGCCCGCGUCUGAUUAGCCAGUUGGCAGGGUAGCGGCCUACCAAAGCGACGAUCAGUAGCCGGCCUGAGAGGGCGGACGGCCACACUGGGACUGAGACACGGCCCAGACUCCUACGGGAGGCAGCAGUGGGGGAUAUUGCACAAUGGGGGGAACCCUGAUGCAGCGACGCCGCGUGGGUGAAGAAGCGCCCCGGCGCGUAAAGCCCUGUCAGCAGGGAAGAAGAAGGACGGUACCUGACCAAGAAGCCCCGGCUAACUGCGUGCCAUCAGCCGCGGUAAUACGUAGGGGGCAAGCGUUAUCCGGAUUUACUGGGUGUAAAGGGGGCGCAAACGGCGAUGCAAGCCAAGAGUGAAAGCCCGGGGC
rnacentral:rRNA from 1 species